rfam:Ovis aries breed Texel chromosome 15, whole genome shotgun sequence.
GCAUUGGUGGUUCAGUGGUAGAAUUCUUGCCUUCCAUGCAGGAGUCCUGGGUUUGAUUCUCUGCCAAUGUA